GAUUCAUAAUAACUUAACGAAUCGCAUGGCCUUGUGCCGGCGAUGGUUCAUUCAAAUUUCUGCCCUAUCAACUUUCGAUGGUAGGAUAGUGGCCUACCAUGGUUUCAACGGGUAACGGGGAAUUAGGGUUCUAUUCCGGAGAGGGAGCCUGAGAAACGGCUACCACAUCCAAGGAAGGCAGCAGGCGCGCAAAUUACCCAAUCCCGACACGGGGAGGUAGUGACAAUAAAUACUGAUACAGGGCUCUUUUGGGUCUUGUAAUCGGAAUGAGUACAAUUUAAAUCCCUUAACGAGGAACAAUUGGAGGGCAAGUCUGGUGCCAGCAGCCGCGGUAAUUCCAGCUCCAAUAGCGUAUAUUAAAGUUGUUGCAGUUAAAAAGCUCGUAGUUGAACCUUGGGCCUGGCUGGCCGGUCCGCCUCACCGCGUGCACUGGUCCGGCCGGGCCUUUCCUCCUGGGGAACCGCAUGCCCUUCACUGGGUGUGCUGGGGAACCAGGACUUUUAC
rnacentral:rRNA from 1 species